CCAUGGCAUACGGAAGUUCCCAGGCCAUGAGUCAAAUUGGAGCUGCAGCUGCAAGCCUACACCACAGCCACAGCAAUGCCAGAUCUGAGUGUCCAUGACCUACACCACAGCUCAUGGCAACACCAGAUCCUUAGGCCACAGAGAGGGGCCAGGGAUUGAACUCACAUCCUCAGGGAUACUAGUCAGGUCCAUUACUUCUGAGCCACAACAGAAACUCCUUCCUAUGCUUUUUUGAUAGCUAGAUGAUGGGAUGGAUGGACAGAUGGACAGAUGGAUAGAUAAACAGACAGAGAGACACACAGACAAAGGACGUCCUUGACAAUGAAGAACUGAUUUGAUUUCACAGCUAAAACCAGAACCACCAAUACAGGUUCAAUCCCAGGAAGGCGUAACGGUUCCAAACCUCCCCCCUCACAAGUUUUUGUAUGUAAUAACUUAUUUUUCUUUAACUUUAUGGGUUUGUAAAUGAUCAAAGAAGAAAAUAUUUUACUGAGAUCAAAUCGAAGAUUUUUAAAAUAUUUGUUUUAUGGUCAUACCCUCGGCAUAUGGAAGUUCCCAGGCCAGAGACUGAAUCCGAGUCUCCACUGCCACCAAAGCCACUGCAAUAGGAUACUUAACCCACUGCACCAGGGCAGGAAGUCCUAAAUUGAAGAUUUUUAUCUGAACUAAGAGAUUUUCCACUUAACCACUUCAAACCAAAUUUUUAUGAUUGGCAUUUAUAUCCUAUCAUUCAAAAGUAAAUUUAGAACAACACAACCUAGUUUGAUUUGGAGCUGAGAAAUGUCGAUUAUAUCACCUAAACAUGUGAGUCCAGACCAAAGAGAAACAUUUUAAUUUAAAACCUAGUCCCCUGUACUAAGUAAGUACAUAGGCCAGUGUGGUUCUGAUGGUUUCAUUAGUUGCAGUAAAAUUGAGAAAAAUAAAGGCAAUAGAGGAAGUUUUUCAUAAAACUAUACUUAUUUCUAUCUAUACUUGUUAUAAUUAAUUUUGGGGAAAAUGUUGUACAUUCAUAAUGAUACCAUAUAAUAAGUGCAUACUGCAUACAAUUAAGAUAUAAUCCUAAAUUAUCCAUGAGUUAAAAAAUAAGUAAGACCACUAUAUCAAAGAUUAAAUAUCCUGCGAAAUUUUAUUGUGAUGAUAAUUAUACAACUACAGAUGUGAUAAAUUCAUUGAGUAAUAAAAAAAUUAAAUAAAUAAAUAAAUAAAUAAAAUAAACCAGAGAUAGCAACUGCAGGAAGUAGCUAUUUCCACCCAUAGGGUUGGGGGAACAAGGAAAGAGAUUAUUAAAACUUAAAACUAGAAAAGCAGAGGAGGGACCCUGUGGCUCACAUUCCUAAGCCAGAAUUUCAACACUAUUCAGUAGCCCUGUAUGCACCCCAAGUUAGAUUGCUUUCCCAAUUUUGGGUACUAGUUACAAAGCUUUAACCCUCUGUUCAAGCUGCAUUUUCCAUUCUAUUCUGUUUCUCUACUCAGCUCUAUUCUAGUCUGUUUUCAUCCUUACUCUCAACCUGUGGCCUGACCUUCAACUUUACUAAGAGUAUAUAUAUAUACAUAUAUAUAUUUUUUUUUUCCCACUGUACAGCAAGGGGGUCAG
rnacentral:lncRNA from 1 species